GCACCCUGAUCCAGCCAUGCCGCGUGAGUGAUGAAGGCCUUAGGGUCGUAAAGCUCUUUCGCCUGUGAAGAUAAUGACUGUAGCAGGUAAAGAAACCCCGGCUAACUCCGUGCCAGCAGCCGCGGUAAUACGGAGGGGGUUAGCGUUGUUCGGAAUUACUGGGCGUAAAGCGCGCGUAGGCGGACUGGAAAGUUGGGGGUGAAAUCCCAGGGCUCAACCCUGGAACUGCCUCCAAAACUAUCAGUCUAGAGUUCGAGAGAGGUGAGUGGAAUUCCGAGUGUAGAGGUGAAAUUCGUAGAUAUUCGGAGGAACACCAGUGGCGAAGGCGGCUCACUGGCUCGAUACUGACGCUGAGGUGCGAAAGUGUGGGGAGCAAACAGGAUUAGAUACCCUGGUAGUCCACACCGUAAACGAUGAAUGCCAGUCGUCGGGUAGCAUGCUAUUCGGUGACACACCUAACGGAUUAAGCAUUCCGCCUGGGGAGUACGGUCGCAAGAUUAAAACUCAAA
rnacentral:rRNA from 1 species